UCUGUCCUAAAUUUAUAUUUAGAACCAGAAUUUGAGCAAGUGAUUACUAUUUUUAUUUUGAAAUAAUAAUAAGAAUCAUAUAAAGAUACACUUUUUAAGUCUAUAAAAGAUAAAAUAAGUAUAGAUUAAUAGUGGUUAAUGUACUUUGUUCAGUGACUUCUGAGAUUUCUUAAUGAUCAAUAUUUUCAUACAUUUGUAAAAGCUUUUGUUUUGUACAAAUUUUAAGACAUGGUCUCACUAAUUUUCUAAGUGUCCCAGGCUAGGCUUAAAACUUUCCUCAUCUUUCCUCCCCCUCCCAGAGUGCUGGGAUUACAGGUGUAUAUUAUCCUGAGUUGGCAAUUGGUAGCAAUGUUGUGUAUUCAUGGAAUAAAAUGUUCGGCUUUGGUCUUCAGACACUUCAUAGAAAGAGUCACUCUAGUUAAGCUGCCUGCCACCUUCCUAGCCUGCAGUUUCUUUCACAGUAAGUAGGACUCAAAAUCCCAUUAACACUGUUAGUAGAUUCUCGGAUUUUCUAACUGUGGUCAGCAUGCACUUGAGAAGAUCACUCCAAAUGAAUUUUUUGGGGCACCUGGGAAAGGAAUGAGGAAGCUGUAAUUAGGGAAAAAGUGGAAGUAGCCAUAUGGGUAAGCAUCCCUGAUUUGGCCAUUCACCCUGAUGACCUACCACCAUGAUGUCCUGUGAUUUAUUCUAGGGCAAAACACUUUCGAGUACAUCCUUCACUUUGAAGAAAUGAAAAUAAAGUAUUUUGGCUAUGUGUCUUCUUCCAUGGAUGUUGGUAAACAACACACAAGAAAAGUUUUUAGUCUUUUCCUUAAUGCAUUGUAUAUACCAUAAACAAAACUACAGAUUAGUUCUCUUUCAGAAAACAGAAGAAGCACGGAAAGGAAGGUAUAAACUCCUUCAAUGCAAGUGUCCCUUAAAAGGUUUUGGAAAGGGUCCUGAGAAUUCAGAGAUUUGUAGUGGUGUGCCUCAGUGGAGGAAGGCUUCCCAAGCACCUGGUGAACUCCUGUGUAUUAUACAGAACAAUGCAAAGAAUUUCUGAACAUACUUAAAUAUUUAGGUGACACCCCUGCUCAAAGACAAGGUGGAGAUUGUAAGAAUCAUGAAAAAAAUUCACACUGGAGAGAAACCUUUGUAUGUAAGCAAUGUGGGAAAGCUUUUACCGCACAUGGACAGUGUAAGAAACAUGAAAGAAUUCACAGUGAAGAAAAACCCUAUGUAUGUAAGUAAUGUGGGAAAGCUUUUACCCAACAUGAAAAUAGUAAGAAACAUGAAAGAAUUCACACUGGAGAAAAAUUUCUUUUAUGUCAGCAAUGUGGGAAAGGUUUUACCACAUGUGGACAGUGUAAGAACCAUGAAAGAAUUCACACUGGAAAGAAACACUCUGUAUGUGAGCAAUGUGGGAAAGGUUUUACCACAAGUGGGCAAUGUAAGGAACAUGAAAGAAUUCACACUGGAGAAAAACCAUAUAUAUGUAAGCAGCGUGGGAAACUUUUUACCCAAUGUGGACGUUGUAAGCAACAUGAAAGUAUUCACACUGGAGAGAAACCCUAUGUAUGUCACCAAUGUGGGAAAGCCUUUAUGCAUUUUCACACCCAAGAUAAACACAUAGUUAAAUUAUAUAAAAACAAUUAUAAUUAUAUAAAAAACACAGUACAGCUUACCAGAAUCUGGGAGAUGCAAUGAAGGCUGUCCUCAGAGGAAUAUUUAUUGCACUGAGUUCCCACAUCAGGAAAACAAGGAAUAUAAAUAAACAACCUGAUGCUACACCUCAAACAUCUAGAAAGACAAGAGCAAGUGGAGCCCAAAGCCAAAAGAAGGGAGGAAAUUUUAAAAAUUAGAGCAGAAAUUAAUGUCAUUUAGACUAAGAAAACAAUCCAAAAAUCAAUGAAUCACAGAGGUGGUUCUUUGAAACAACAAAUAAAAUUGGUAAGAUCAUACCCAACCUUAUAAUAAAAAUGAAAGGAAAAGCUCAAACUCAGGCACUAAGGAAUGAGAAAGGUGAAAUCACCACAGACUCUGUGGAAAUACAGAAGAUCAUCAACACCUAUUUCAAAACCUCGACUCUCAUAGGUUCAUCAACAAAGAAGAAAUGGACAGAUGUCUUAGAACAUAUGAAUUACCCAAGCUGGGUGAAGAUGUAAAACUUCUGAAUAACCCAAUUUCUAUUUAUGAAAUUGAAAAUGUAUAUUAAGUUCUUAUCUACAAAGAAGAGCCCAAGUCCAGUCGGAUUCACUGCAGAAUUCUACAAGAAAUACAAAGAAGACUGAAUGCUGACACUUCUCAAAAUCUUCAAUGAAAUUGAAAGGGAAGCAAUUCUUCCUAAAUCAUUCCUAGAAGCAAAUAUUACUCUAGGACCAAAACCUGAGAAAGGCCAAGCUAAGAAAGAGAAUGAAAACCCAACUUCCCUAAUGAGCAAAGAUGCCAAAAUCCUUAAUAAAAUAUUGGCAAACAGGAUGCAGCAAAUCAUCAUGAAGAUUAUACAUCAUGACCACAAGGGAUUCAUCACAGGAAUGCAGGGUUGGUUCAACAUGUAUAAAUUAAUAAAUGUAAUCUACCAUAUCAAUUAAGCCAAA